UACGUAGGUGGCAAGCGUUGUCCGGAUUUAUUGGGUUUAAAGGGUGCGUAGGCGGCCUAUUAAGUCAGUGCUGAAAUAUCCCGGCUUAACCGGGAGGGUGGCAUUGAUACUGAUGGGCUUGAGUAGAGUUGAGGUUGGCGGAAUUGACGGUGUAGCGGUGAAAUGCUUAGAUGUCGUCAAGAACACCUAUUGCGAAGGCAGCUAACUAAGCUCAAACUGACGCUGAGGCACGAAAGUGUGGGGAUCAAACAGG
rnacentral:rRNA from 1 species